GAUCAUGGCUCAGGAUGAACGCUGGCGGCGUGCUUAACACAUGCAAGUCGAACGGGAAACUUUUCAUUGAAGCUUCGGCAGAUUUGGUCUGUUUCUAGUGGCGGACGGGUGAGUAACGCGUGGGUAACCUGCCUUAUACAGGGGGAUAACAACCAGAAAUGGUUGCUAAUACCGCAUAAGCGCACAGGACCGCAUGGUUCGGUGUGAAAAACUCCGGUGGUAUAAGAUGGACCCGCGUUGGAUUAGCUAGUUGG
rnacentral:rRNA from 1 species